UCAGGCCAGCAUCGGUUUUCAUAGGGGGAUAAAAGCCUUGGGAAUGUGGCUCCUCCGGGAGUGUUAUAACCCAGGGUAUAAUACCCCUAAGGAGACCGAGGUUCGCGCUCUGCAAGGAUGCUGGCGUAAUGGUCAUCAGCGA
rnacentral:rRNA from 1 species